GGGGUUGUAGCCAAGUGGUUACGCUCUAUUUCUCGGACGAAUAGGUCCUGGGUUCGAUUCCUGCCAAUCCCG